GAGAGUAGUUCAAGUCUACAUGUACCAAGGAGAGUCAUAGAAACCAGCCAGCCCACGCGAAGAAGGAUUCCCUCUGAGAAGACUCCGAUGAAACAUAUUUGGUGCCUAGUGAGAAAUGGAUGAAAGGUGAUUCUGGAGAAGUCAUAAAUGCAAGCAGACAAAAGAAGCAAGGCAGACAGACAACUGGAAAGAGAGAGAUGGAUAAGAGAUGCCAGAUAUGAAGUCUUAGCAGAAAGAAAUCUGGAAGCCAAGGACA